UCCCAACUAAAAAGACAAGUUCUUUUCCACCGCUGCCGCCACCAUAACGUCCUCCUGAUCGGCACGACACGUAGUCGUCGCGGCUAAUGGCGAUCACAGCGUACCUGAGAAGCGUGGAAACAAACGUUUACAAGCAACAGGGUCUACCAAGCAGAGUAAAGAAAAGCACAGUUGAGUCGUGGGAAAACAGGCUUUGUCGAGCAUCUAUUUUAUGCCAACACAUAAAUACAUGUUUGGGCCUCCGCUGGCAGGUCAUUGUGAGGCUUUUCCUCACCACAGCGAGGCGCUCUAAAGCAACCACGUGGGGAUGUGGCUAUGGGGUUGCCCACCCAGAGAUAAGCCGUGCCCACCCAGCGGAAUCAUCUGCCCGUCCAAUGAAGAAUCACGUUAUUUACAUUUUUGGUGUAUUCAUAGCUUUCUGUCAUUGGGCAUCAAAAAAUGCACUGCUUACUAAUCGACCAUUUGGAAGGUGUUGGCGUUUUUUGUGCCGCUCUUUUACAUCAGCAAACAACGACGACACUUACAUAAUGUGGUACAGACGCGGUCAAAUGAACAGCUUCUUGUUUUUAUUUUGUCUCGUCUACUUGUAUGUUUAUCGUGUACUGUGUCUCGUCAGCGUGGGAUGGAGGAAACGGAAUUUGGGUUUCUUUGUGUGUCUUGACAUAUGAAGGGAUUGACAAUAAAGCUGACUUUGACUUUGA